rnacentral:lncRNA from 1 species
CACCAGCCCUUGAAGCACUGGACAGCAUGCAUCCUUGGCACUGCUGCCAAUUCCAAUGUGAAUGAGGCCACCCAACACAUCCACACAAGCUCCCAACUUGAGAGUGUCGAUGGGACACGUGUUCUUUGGUGGUGAUGGGGUUGGCACUGGUGUUGGUGGUGGUGGAGGAGGACAUGGUGUCUCAGUGGGUGGAGGAGGCUUAACUGGUACAACUGGGGUAGGUGUAGGUGUUGGUGGGCUUGGUGGUACAACAGGUGGUGAUGGUGGUGGCUUAACUGGUACAACUGGGGUAGGUGUUGGUGUUGGUGGGCUUGGUGGUACAACAGGUGGUGAUGGUGGUGGCUUAACUGGUACAACUGGGGGCUUGGGUACAUAGGGUGGUGGGGGUUGUACAACUGGGGGCUUGGGUACAUAUGGUGGUGGUGGUUGUACAACUGGGGGUUUGGGGAUGAAGGGUGGGUGCACAAUUGGGGGUUUAGGGAUAAAAGGUGGGUGCACGAUUGGGGGCUUGGGGAUGAAGGGUGGGUGCACAAUUGGGGGCUUGGGGAUGAAGGGUGGGUGCACAAUUGGGGGUUUAGGGAUGAAGGGUGGGUGCACAAUUGGGGGUUUAGGGAUGAAGGGUGGGUGCACAAUUGGGGGUUUAGGGAUGAAGGGUGGGUGCACAAUUGGGGGCUUGGGGAUGAAGGGUGGGUGCACAAUUGGGGGCUUGGGGUGGGGUGGUGGUUUGACAAUAGGAGGCUUGGGGAUGAAGGGAGGUCUCACAAUAGGUGGUUUGGGGACAGAAGGAGGUUUUGGUAUAUGGGGAGGAUAUACAAUGGGGGGUUUGGGGCCAUGAGGUGGCUUGGGUACAUGGGGUGGAUGAGGAUGAGGUGGCUUUGAUGGUGGCUUGGGAACAUAGGGAGGCUUUACAUGAGGGGGAUGGGGUGGUUUUGAUGGUGGUUUGGGAACAUAGGGAGGCUUUACAUGAGGAGGAAGAGGUGGUUUUGAUGGUGGUUUGGGAACAGAGGGAGGCUUUACAUGAGGGGGAUGAGGUGGGUGUUUAGGUGGUUUAGGGAUGAAGGGUGGCUUUACAUGAGGAGGCUGUUUGGGUGGCAAGUGUGGAGGGUAUGUUGGUGGUGGACAGUAGGAGUUAGCAAGAGAAGUGAGCAAACUACCCAAAUUCACAAUGAGGACUAAGAGCAAAGCCAGGGUAUAAUUCCCCAUGUUCAAAACUCCACAACCCUCAAAAGAGUUGG